GCCCUUGUAGCUCAGUGGCUAGAGCGGUCGCUUCGUAAGCGACAGGUCGCGAGUUCAACUCUCGCCAGGGGCU
rnacentral:tRNA from 1 species